rfam:SAR92 bacterium BACL26 MAG-121220-bin70 contig01781_1_121220-bin70, whole genome shotgun sequence.
GGGCCCAUAGCUCAGCUGGUUAGAGCAGUCGACUCAUAAUCGAUUGGUCGUAGGUUCAAGUCCUACUGGGCCCA